ACGGGUGAGUAACGCGUAGGAAUCUGCCCUCAAGCGGGGGACAACCCGAGGAAACUCGGGCUAAUACCGCAUAAACUCGGAAGAGUAAAGUUAGGGCAACCUGACACUUGAGGAGGAGCCUGCGUCCGAUUAGCUAGUUGGUAGGGUAAAAGCCUACCAAGGCGAUGAUCGGUAACUGGUCUGAGAGGAUGACCAGUCACACUGGGACUGAGACACGGCCCAGACUCCUACGGGAGGCAGCAGUGGGGCAUAUUGGACAAUGGGGGCAACCCUGAUCCAGCAAUACCGCGUGUGUGAAGACGGCCUUCGGGUUGUAAAGCACUUUAGUUGGGGAAGAAGGUUACUGGUUUAAGAGAUGAGUAACUUGACUGUACCCAAAGAAUAAGCACCGGCUAACUCUGUGCCAGCAGCCGCGGUAAUACAGAGGGUGCGAGCGUUAAUCGGAAUUACUGGGCGUAAAGGGCGCGUAGGCGGUAAAUUAAGUUAGAUGUGAAAUCCCUGGGCUUAACCUAGGAACUGCAUCUAAUACUGAUUUGCUGGAGUGCAGUAGAGGGUAGUGGAAUUUCCGGUGUAGCGGU
rnacentral:rRNA from 1 species